rnacentral:rRNA from 1 species
UACAGAGGUCCCAAGCGUUGUUCGGAUUCACUGGGCGUGAAGGGUGCGUAGGCGGUCGGGUAAGUCUGAUGUGAAAUCUCACAGCUUAACUGUGAAACUGCAUUGGAUACUAUCCGGCUCGAGGAAUGGAGGGGAGACUGGAAUACUUGGUGUAGCAGUGAAAUGCGUAGAUAUCAAGUGGAACACCAGAGGCGAAGGCGAGUCUCUGGACAUUUCCUGACGCUGAGGCACGAAAGCCAGGGGAGCAAACGGG